rnacentral:other from 1 species
CGUCCUCUGCCGUGAUCGACGGCGUGCACAAACAUACGCCUUGUCCCUUAAUGACGACCACGGGGGCGCAGUGGAAACCGGGUGUGCAAGCCCGCCUCGCAGCGGUAAGCCCGAUGGAUUCCCGGCGCUCCCACUUGAACCCCGGUUCAAGGUCGUUUGGCAUGCAUCGACAUGGCGGAGG